UACGGAGGAUGCAAGCGUUAUCCGGAAUGAUUGGGCGUAAAGCGUCCGCAGGCGGCAAUGUAAGUCUGCUGUCAAAGCGUCUGGCUCAACCAGAUAAAGGCAGUGGAAACUACAUAGCUAGAGUAAGGUAGGGGUAGAGGGAAUUCCUGGUGUAGCGGUGAAAUGCGUAGAGAUCAUGAGGAAGACCAGUGGCGAAGGCGGGUCUCUGGACAGUUCCUGACACUGAGACACGAAGGCCAGGGGAGCAAACGGG
rnacentral:rRNA from 1 species